ACGCAACAGUCUUACAAGGUCAGCGACUCAUUCCCCUUUAAGUGGAUAAACAAGAAGUGGAGAGAAGGAUUUUACGUGACCUCAAUGGCAACUGCUGGAAGCCGGUGGGGUAUUGUCAUGUCUCGCAAUGCUGGCUUUAGUGAUCAGGUCGUUGAACUUGAUUUUCUUUACCCGAGCGAGGGCAUUCACAGACGGUGGGAUAAUGG
rnacentral:misc_RNA from 1 species